rnacentral:rRNA from 1 species
AGCAGCCGCGGUAAUUCCAGCUCCAAUAGCGUAUAUUAAAGUUGUUGCAGUUAAAAAGCUCGUAGUUGAACUUCGGGGUUUACCCAUUGGUCAGGCUUAACUGUCUGUACUGGUGAGAUGAAUCUCUACCUUCUGAGGAACUUUCAUGCCAUUUAUUUGGUGUGAUUGGAAAUCAGGACUAUUACUUUGAAAAAAUUAGAGUGUUUAAAGCAGGCUAACGUCUGAAUACAUUAGCAUGGAAUAAUGAAAUAGGACGGACUGGUUCUAUUUUGUUGGUUUCUAGGAUCACCGUAAUGAUUAAUAGGGAUAGUUGGGGGCAUUAGUAUUCAAUUGUCAGAGGUGAAAUUCUUGGAUUUAUUGAAGACUAACUACUGCGAAAGCAUUUGCCAAGGAUGUUUUCAUUAAUCAAGAACGAAAGUUAGGGGAUCGAAGACGAUCAGAUACCGUCGUAGUCUUAACCAUAAACUAUGCCGACUAGGGAUCGGACGAAGUUAAUUUUAUAAUGACGCGUUCGGCACCU